AGCGAACGCUGGCGGCAGGCCUAACACAUGCAAGUCGAGCGCCCCGCAAGGGGAGCGGCAGACGGGAGAGUAACACGUGGGAACGUACCUUUCAGUUCGGAACAACCCAGGGAAACUUGGGCUAAUACCGAAUACGCCCGUAAGGGGAAAGAUUUAUCGCUGAAAGAUCGGCCCGCGUCUGAUUAGCUAGUUGGUGAGGUAACGGCUCACCAAGGCGACGAUCAGUAGCUGGUCUGAGAGGAUGAUCAGCCUCAUUGGGACUGAGACACGGCCCAAACUCCUACGGGAGGCAGCAGUGGGGAAUAUUGGACAAUGGGCGCAAGCCUGAUCCAGCCAUGCCGCGUGGGUGAUGAAGGCCCUAGGGUUGUAAAGCCCUUUCGGCGGGAAGAUAAUGACGGUACCCGCAGAAGAAGCCCCGGCUAACUUCGUGCCA
rnacentral:rRNA from 1 species